AGCUGCAAAAAUCAUGUCAUGGAAUAGAAGCUACCAUUAAUCAUGUUAGUGCAAGAGGCCACAAACAUGCUACCUAGAUACACCCUUUGGAUCACCCUGGUAGCAGCCAAGCCCUCUGCCGUUCCGCCAGAAGGAGAUGAGAUUCUUCUAUCUUUUCUGCUUCUGAAAAAAAACAUAAAAGGCCUACAGAUCAAACCAUCAUAUAUAUGACCACUUCAGUUUCAAUAAUUUAUUGAUUCUCUUAAAAUUAAAUGAUGUCUCGUCAUCUUGUGUUUGCUUAAAUAUAUAAUUAAUAGCCAGGGAUUAGAGGCCGGAUGUAUGAAAAAAAAUUAAAGCUUGGCUGCUGCACAGUCAUUACCAGUUGCAUGGACAACAGUGGACGGAAAGCUAGAUAAGCAGGAUGCCGCUUUGCAAGCUUAGUCGUACAUCAAUGAACCGUUGAAGAAGUGAAAUCUAUCCACAUACCCAGGUCGCAAGCUUACUCGUGCAUCAAUGAACCGUUGAAGAAGUGAAAUCUAUCCACAUACCCAGGUCGCUUUGCAAGCUUACUCGUGCAUCAAUAAACCGUUGAAGAAAUGAAAUAUAUACACAUACCCAGGUCUAUGACAGGAGCCUAGAGAGGCCAUCUAGUACUGUCACCAAGGGGAGAUCACUUCUUGUCGAGAUCGAUUGAGCCUCUUCUCGAGCUCCCGGGUCCCGAUGUGUCCUGUCUUCCUCAAUCUCACUGCACCAUUCCUCUCCCCUUGCGGCAUCCUCUCUGCUGCAUUAAUCAUAUAUUGCAUUUGCAGCAAUAUAAAUGCCAUUCUCAGUACUCCACAACUUACAGUAGUAAAAUAUCUAGCUGAUUCUCUACGGUUCAUUUACUUGAGAACUGCUGACAGAUUUUGUUCUACAUGCAAAUUGAAUACUGGAGAGUAGCUAAAAUCGAAAGAAGAGAAGGCACAAGGAUGUACACGCCUACUGGAAAGUACCUAAAACUGAAAGAAGAAAAGGAGCAAGGAUGUAUGCACAUGUUCCCUAAGCACUUGAUGUUAGGCUCCCUCUUCCCCAAGCUCGCACCUGCACCUUCUUCUCCCUACCUCUCCUCCUCCCUGAAUCUUCCUCUUUCUCUCUUUUCUACCAGGGAAAACUAAAGCCCCGCCAUGGCUUGGAGCUCUCCCUGCCAGCCAUGGAGACCCGCCUCUACCUGCAAGGAAUUCACGCCGCCGCACCAGAUCCCUCCGUCUCACACGCCCGUCCGCCGUCACUCA
rnacentral:lncRNA from 1 species